rnacentral:rRNA from 1 species
CAGUAGCCGCGGUAAUGCGUAGGUGACAAGCGUUGUCCGGAAUUAUUGGGCGUAAAGGGAGCGCAGGCGGUUGGAAUAGUCUGAUGUGAAAGCCCACGGCUUAACCGUGGAAUUGCAUUGGAAACUGUCCAACUUGAAUGCAGAAGAGGAAAGCGGAAUUCCAUGUGUAGCGGUGAAAUGCGUAGAUAUAUGGAGGAACACCAGUGGCGAAGGCGGCUUUCUGGUCUGUGAUUGACGCUGAGGCUCGAAAGCGUGGGGAGCGAACAGGAUUAGAUACCCGAGUAGUCCCUGUCUCUUAUAC